rnacentral:rRNA from 1 species
UGGGUCUAAUACCGGAUAUGACUCCUCAUCGCAUGGUGGGGGGUGGAAAGCUUUUGUGGUUUUGGAUGGACUCGCGGCCUAUCAGCUUGUUGGUGGGGUAAUGGCCUACCAAGGCGACGACGGGUAGCCGGCCUGAGAGGGUGACCGGCCACACUGGGACUGAGACACGGCCCAGACUCCUACGGGAGGCAGCAGUGGGGAAUAUUGCACAAUGGGCGCAAGCCUGAUGCAGCGACGCCGCGUGAGGGAUGACGGCCUUCGGGUUGUAAACCUCUUUCAGUAGGGAAGAAGCCCUCUUUUUGGGGGUG